UUGAUGCUAUGAGAUGGUCUCAUCAAUGUGCAACAAUUGAACUGGAUUUCCAACUUCCUGAGAGAUUCAACCUCACGCUAGCUAUUGUAGGUUCAGUUGAAAAAUGAUUGCUAUUCUUGCUGAAAGCUUUGGUGGAAAAUGGAUUUUAUGGCUUUCUCCCCAUCAAGUUGUAGUAAUUCCUGUCAGUAGUAAAUAUGAUGAUUAUGCCGAACCGGUAAAUUUAAUUUGAUUCAAAAGAAGUUCCAUGCAGCUGGUUAUCGUGUUGAUACAGACUUGGAUCACGGAUCAACACUAAAUAAGAAAGUUCGCAAUGCACAACUUUCACAGUACAACUUCAUUCUUGUUGUUGGUGAAAAAGAGACGGUCUCAGACACGGUCAACGUCAGAACACGUGACAACAAAGUACUCGGUGAAAAAUCGGUCAUGGCCGUGAUCGAACGCUUGCGAGAUUUAGUCAGCUCACGAAGUCUGACAAGCGAAGAUUUUUUGAAGUAAAACAACAUUUUUAUGGUAAA